rnacentral:tRNA from 2 species
GCGCGAUUAGCUCAGUUGGUAGAGCAGCGCUUUUACACAGCGAAGGUCGCAGGUUCGAAUCCUGCAUCGCGCACAA